AUGACAUAUAUGAGAUGUUUUGAAGGGAAAAUUGACAAGAAUUCAUGCCUAAUAAAGAGGAGGUGAUUAAGAAAUAUCAAGUGCAAUAUCAAAGUUUCUACCCUAUGUGAUUGAGAUAAUGAGAAUUCCAUUAGUAUAAUAAGACUGAUAGAAUUAGAGAUGAUAAAAUUGGCCUUGGAUCUGCCAAGUCUGAGAUGACAAUAAGACAGUGAUUUUCAACCAGUGUGCCAUAAGAAAUUUUUAAAAAUGCAAUACCUGACUAUUUAGUCAGGGGCACUGACCUCUUUUCCCUUAUAUUGACAAAUAAAAAAUGAUAAAAGCCAACACAGUAAUAGCUGUCCAGUGUGAAUGCCUCGUCUUGAACCAUAAAUGUCAAUAUAUAGAUCAUAUAGUAGAGUUGCAUCUUAUUGGUUACAUGAUGCAUAUAAUAAGGUUGCAGCUGAUUGGUUUUCCUGGUAUCAGAAAUUCUUAUAUACAAGUCACACUUGAUUUUUUUAAAAAGUCACUUUGGGGCAAAAAGUAUAGAUAAUUACUAAUUUUUUUGUAAAUCAAUCAAAAUUAUUUGUCAGAUCGGCUAAAAUAUAUUUUUUGGUGUGCUGCAGAAUUUUAGUAAUUAGUUUAUGUGUGCCAUGAGAUCAAAAGGGUUGAAAAUUCUGAUCUGGACCCAUUGCUAUAUAGU